rfam:Hordeum vulgare subsp. vulgare, WGS project CAJW01000000 data, contig: morex_contig_2551422
UUUAUACUCCCUUGGUCCCAAAAUUCUUGUCUUAGCUUUGUCUAGAAAUGAAUGUAUCUACAUAUUAAAUUUGACUAGAUACAUUCAUAUCUAAACAAAUAUAAGACAAUAAUUUUGAAACGGAGGGAGUAUUUA